AAGCAGAGGGGGCUUAGUGGUGGGGUGACUGCGUACCUUUUGUAUAAUGGGUCAGCGACUUAUAUUCUGUAGCAAGGUUAACCGAAUAGGGGAGCCGGAGGGAAAGCGAGUCUUAACCGGGCGUUAAGUUGCAGGGUAUAGACCCGAAACCCGGUGAUCUAGCCAUGGGCAGGUUGAAGGUUGGGUAACACUAACUGGAGGACCGAACCGACUAAUGUUGAAAAAUUAGCGGAUGACCUGUGGCUGGGGGUGAAAGGCCAAUCAAACCGGGAGAUAGCUGGUUCUCCCCGAAAGCUAUUUAGGUAGCGCCUCGUGAAUUCAUCUCCGGGGGUAGAGCACUGUUUCGGCUAGGGGGCCAUCCCGGCUUACCAACCCGAUGCAAACUGCGAAUACCGGAGAAUGUUAUCACGGGAGACACACGGCGGGUGCUAACGUCCGUCGUGAAGAGGGAAACAACCCAGACCGCCAGCUAAGGUCCCAAAGUCAUGGUUAAGUGGGAAACGAUGUGGGAAGGCCCAGACAGCCAGGAUGUUGGCUUAGAAGCAGCCAUCAUUUAAAGAAAGCGUAAUAGCUCACUGGUCGAGUCGGCCUGCGCGGAAGAUGUAACGGGGCUAAACCAUGCACCGAAGCUGCGGCAGCGACGCUUAUGCGUUGUUGGGUAGGGGAGCGUUCUGUAAGCCUGUGAAGGUGGCCUGUGAGGGUUGCUGGAGGUAUCAGAAGUGCGAAUGCUGACAUAAGUAACGAUAAAGCGGGUGAAAAGCCCGCUCGCCGGAAGACCAAGGGUUCCUGUCCAACGUUAAUCGGGGCAGGGUGAGUCGACCCCUAAGGCGAGGCCGAAAGGCGUAGUCGAUGGGAAACGGGUUAAUAUUCCCGUACUUGGUGUUACUGCGAAGGGGGGACGGAGAAGGCU
rnacentral:rRNA from 1 species